UUAUGCCCAUGGUAUCUAAUGUCAAGAACUAUUUAUUUCUUGAUGUUUCGUUUUUGAGGGCAUAAACCAAUUUGAACAGACCUUGCGACACAGAUUGCUUCUCUACAAUAAGCUUUCUGUUACUAUUUUCCUGUCUACAUAU